UGGGGGGGCCCUUCUCCCAGGCAGCUCGGCCCUUGUUGGCCCUCCUGGGGUGGCAGGAGACGGCAGUGCUUCCCAGGAGCAAAUCUGGGGGCUCGCCCUCUUCUUCUUGCUUUUCCAUCCAGAAGGUUCAUUUUACUGGAAUUCAUUGCAGUUCAGUGUAUGGGGCCAGCAGUGGAGAGGAAGGGAACAGCUCCAUGGCAACUAGCUUAUAAACCUUCAGGCCCCCGGCGGCCUCCUGGGGACUCCUUGCCCUCUCCCUCUCGGGACCCUGAACAUGAACCAAGUCUCACACUUCCAACCCCUGGGAUGGAGACCCAGCCGGGAAAUGUGGGUUAAGUCAGGAAAUAGGAUGGACCCUCUUUCCCCCACUUCAAGAUACACUUCGUCUCGUCCUUCCCUGCAGUGAAGAUCAUCAUGUUCAGCUGGCGUAACUUCCUCCCCGUUGAUGCAAGAAUCAAACGAGAAAACGCCACGUCCUGGUCCCUACGAGAGCAUCAGGGUGGUGGAAAUAGAAGCCAUUGCGAUCAGAGUGCAAAUGGCACAGGGAGGUGUUCCCUGGUGCCCCUGCCCUUUGCAAGGUGACAACCGCUCUGGGCUGAGAGUGUUGGCGGUAGGAGAGUCAGAAGCAGAAAUACUGAUAAGGAGCAACGAUCACGGGAUCAGCCCACGCCUCACCCCCUUCCCAGGAAGAGGGUCUGGAGUUUCUCAUUCUGGAAUUACCCAUGGCUUGCUCCUGGCAGAAUUUGGUGGAAGACUUGCUUUUGUUGGAACACGCCGUCACAUGGAGAAGUUGGAGGAACGGGUCGAAUGACCUCUAUCUUUUCCCCUUUCCUGGAGUUCACUGAGAGAACAUGACAGAUGCUAGCAAAGCGACCAAAUUAGCUUCAGCCAUUCCCACCAGUCAUGGAGUCAUGUCUUGCCCAAGAGUCAGAGUGCAAGUUAAAAAUCAAAUAAAAAUUACCCUUGAAAAUCCCUUAAACAUUCCCAAAAUGACCUCCCGCGUGGUUUUGUGUAUAUAGCCCUUAAUGAGUUCCUGUAUUUGUUAGUCAAGAACGCUCUAGGACCCUUAGUUUAUCCUUUCCUUUCCUCUUCAAGGACCUUGGCAAAAACCGUCAUCCACCUACCUGGUCACACGCAGACAGGUUACGCUUUCUCUGCCACUGCUCAGAAACCACAUAAAAUGGCCCACGCGUUGAUCCCGUGGGUCUGGCUGGCUCUGUUCCAGGCCGGACCACCUUCAUCACUGCGCACCACGGCCACCCAAGAGCAGGGAGGCCUACCGGGUUAGGAUGUAAGUCCCAGCAGUUACGUGGCACAAAUUCUGUGCCUUCCAUGCAGAUUGGCAGGGAUUCUCCAGGGACCUAGAUACUAAAACCGAAACAAAGACAACUGAACGGGACAUCCGGAGCUGGGAAUAGAGAAAGAAAGCCAACAGUC